UCUCAACGACGAAGGCAGACCAAGAGC
rnacentral:piRNA from 1 species